rnacentral:misc_RNA from 1 species
GAUGAAGAACGCAGCGAAAUGCGAUAAGUAAUGUGAAUUGCAGAAUUCAGUGAAUCAUCGAAUCUUUGAACGCACAUUGCACCCGCCAGUAUUCUGGCGGGCAUGCCUGUUCGAGCGUCAUUUCAACCAUCAAGCCCCAGGCUUGUGUUGGGGACCUGCGGCUGCCGCAGGCCCUGAAAACCAGUGGCGGGCUCGCUGUCACACCGGGCGUAGUAGAUUUUAUCUCGCUCAGGGCGUGCUGCGGGUCCCGGCCGUUAAAAGCCUUUUUUUACCCAAGGUUGACCUCGGAUCAGGUAGGAAGACCCGCUGAACUUAAGCAUAUCAAUAAGCGGAGGA